rnacentral:rRNA from 14 species
AGACCGUACCCCAAACCGACACAGGUGGGCUGGUAGAGCAUACCAAGGCGCUUGAGAGAACCGCGUUGAAGGAACUCGGCAAAAUACCCCCGUAACUUCGGGAUAAGGGGGCCCAUGCCUUAGGCAACUAGGGUGUGGGGGCACGGAAACGAGGGUGGCGACUGUUUACUAAAAACACAGGGCUCUGCGAAGCCGCGAGGCGACGUAUAGGGUCUGACGCCUGCCCGGUGCCGGAAGGUUAAGAGGAGAUGUGAG